rnacentral:lncRNA from 1 species
AAAACCAAAAAAAAAAUACUUUCCCAAACACUCUCCUUUCCCCAACCGUCUGGCCAUUGGCCGGUCGUUGGCCACCGCACCGGCCGCCGACCUCCGGCGUCGGCACCGCCGUCUGCGGUGGCCGAAAAAGAGAAAAAUACCCUAUUCAACCCUCUCGACCCUACCAAGUCCAAAUCUGGGUUUAAAACCUUCAAAAGGUAAGCGAAAAAGCCUCAAAAGCCCAGGAAACCUUUUGGUUUCCGACCGUCUUUCCUCGGAGACGACUUCCUCCGCCGUUCACGGUGAUUUGGGGCUCAAAACACAGGUUCUCUUUCUUUCUCUUAUUUAUUUUAUUUAUAUGUAAAUAAAUAAUAAUAAUAAUAAUAAUAAUAAGGUAACAAACUAAAGCAAAAGAGAAUAUAAACCUUGGUUUGUUUUCGAUUUUCUGUUUUCUGCUUAUGAAGAUAAUAACCCUCUUUUAUUGAUUUUUCCGAAUCCUUUUUACAAUAUGUUUAAUGGCUUUUUAUAGUCAUGCUCAAAAUAUAUGAAGAAACGAAUCUGCUUAUAUUGAUUUGAUUUGGAAAUCUUCAAUCUUGUUUUCCAUAUACAGUUUGUUUCCUUUUUUGUGUGCAAAUGAAGAUUCGGGGUGGAGAUUCGGCCUGUGUGGAAGAUUGGAGUUGCGGCGGCUGAAGCUUAGAAACCCUAGGGUGUUUCAUCU